UACGUAGGGGGCUAGCGUUGUCCGGAAUCAUUGGGCGUAAGAGCGUGUAGGCGGUCCGGUAAGUCCGCUGUGAAAGUCGGGGGCUCAACCCUCGAAUGCCGGUGGAUACUGUCGGGCUAGAGUGCGGAAGAGGCGAGUGGAAUUCCUGGUGUGAGCGGUGAAAUGCGCAGAUAUCAGGAGGAACACCGGUGGCGAAGGCGGUUCUCUGGGCCUGUACUGACGCUGAGGAACGAAAGCGUGGGGAUCAAACAGG
rnacentral:rRNA from 1 species